rnacentral:tRNA from 1 species
AAAAGAUUAGUUAAAUAUUAACAUUAGCAUGUCAAGCUAAAAUUGCCAAUAUGGCAUCUUUUA